rnacentral:pre_miRNA from 1 species
UAAUGAUGAUGGUGAUGAUGAUGGUGAUGAUGAUGGUGAUGAUGAUGGUUCAAGUUCCAAUAAGAUGUUCAACUCUCUAAACUACCGAAAUUCUAACAACAACUCUGUGAAUGAUCAUCAUCAGCACAAAAUAACCUUACCACCACCACCAUCAUCAUCAUCAUCAUCGCCACCAUCAUCAUCAUCUCCU